GAGCAUGUAGAUCAGUGGUAGAAUAUUUGCUUAGCAUGCACAAGACCCUGCUUGGUUCAAUCCCCAGCACCACA
rnacentral:tRNA from 1 species